rnacentral:tRNA from 1 species
AAAUAAGAAACAAUUUAUUGUAUUUAGUUUCGACCUAAAAUUUUGAUGAUCGCCAUCCUUAUUUU